rnacentral:lncRNA from 1 species
AUUGACUCAGUAUCAAGUCAUUCCAAAGUGGUGGAUUCUGUGGUAUUUAUUCUCUGUGUGUGGAACGUUUACAAUUAAAAAAAAAAAAAAAAGCCCACACCAUUCCCACAAAGUCUUCUAUUUGCUGAAAGGAAACAUGUCGUUGGGCAGAAGAGCACUAAAGAAAAAGCAGAGAAAACGUCCUUUCAAAAAGAAGAUGAGAAGAAGAGAGUGAGAGAGAGACAGAGAAUUCUCCUAUAUUUCUUCUAAAAGUUUUAAAGAUUGAGAUCUUUAAUCUACACGGAAUUGACUUUUGUGUGUGGUGUGAGACUAAAACCAACCUAAGACAACACUUAUGCCAGGACACCUGUACCACAAGGAGCUCAGGUUACACUGGAGAAGGGAAGAACGUAAGAAGUCCUGCCAUGUUCCUCUUGGCUUGAGUGGCCACCUCCUGAGACGCUGCCCUGUGGCAUAUGCUGAUGCAUUACUGGGUCCUUACGCCUGACAGCGCAGUGGUUAUGAGAAAUAUGUAUGGUUUUCCUUUCAUAUGAUGUAGUAGAAUAUUGCCAAUAAAAGGCACUUUUCACCCAC